AACGAACGCUGGCGGCAGGCCUAACACAUGCAAGUCGAGCGAAGCCUUCGGGCUUAGCGGCGGACGGGUGAGUAACGCGUGGGAACGUGCCCUUUGGUACGGAAUAGCCCCGGGAAACUGGGAGUAAUACCGUAUGUGCUCUUCGGGGGAAAGAUUUAUCGCCAAAGGAUCGGCCCGCGUUGGAUUAGGUAGUUGGUGGGGUAAUGGCCUACCAAGCCGACGAUCCAUAGCUGGUUUGAGAGGAUGAUCAGCCACACUGGGACUGAGACACGGCCCAGACUCCUACGGGAGGCAGCAGUGGGGAAUCUUAGACAAUGGGGGAAACCCUGAUCUAGCCAUGCCGCGUGAUCGAUGAAGGCCUUAGGGUUGUAAAGAUCUUUCAGUGGGGAAGACAAUGACUGUACCCACAGAAGAAGCCCCGGCUAACUCCGUGCCAGCCGCCGCUGUAAGAC
rnacentral:rRNA from 1 species